GUCACUUUGCCGGAGUGGUUAACGGGAUCGCCUGCUAC
rnacentral:tRNA from 1 species